GACGAACGCUGGCGGCGUGCCUAAUACAUGCAAGUAGAACGCUGAAGGGAGGAGCUUGCUAUUCUUGGAUGAGUUGCGAACGGGUGAGUAAGGAGUAGGUAGCCGGCCUUGUAGGGGGGGGUGACUAUUGGGAACGAUAGCUAAUAUCGCAUAAGAAUGGAUGACGGAUGUCGUUUAUGUGAAAGGGGUUAUUGCUCACCUACAGGGUGGAAGUGCGUUGUAUUAGCUAGUAGGUGAGGUAAUGGCUCAUCUAGGCGACGAUACAUAGACGACCUGAGAGGGUGAUCGGCCACACUGGGACUGAGACACGGCCCAGACCCCUACGGGAGGCAGCAGUAGGGAAUCUUCGGCAAUGGGGGCAACCCUGACCGCGCAACGCCGCGUGAGUGAAGAAGGUUCUCGGAUCGUAAAGCUCUGUUGUAAGUCAAGAACGGGUGUGAGAGUGGAAAGUUCACACUGUGACGGUAGCUUACCAGAAAGGGACGGCUAACUACGUG
rnacentral:rRNA from 1 species